rnacentral:rRNA from 1 species
GAGUAAAGCGGGGGAUCUUCGGACCUCGCGCCAUUGGAGCGGCCCGUGUCCGAUUAGUUUGACGGCGGGGUAACAGCCCACCGUGGCUACAAUCGGUAGCUGGUCUGAGAGGAUGAUCAGCCACACCGGGACUGAGACACGGCCCGGACUCCUACGGGAGGCAGCAGUGGGGAAUAUUGGACAAUGGGGGCAACCCUGAUCCAGCGAUGCCGCGUGUGUGAAGAAGGCCUUCGGGUUGUAAAGCACUUUCGCGGGGGAAGAAACUUCGCGCUCUAACAUAGCGCGGCACUGACGGUACCCCGAGAAGAAGCGCCGGCUAACUCCGUGCCAGCAGCCGCGGUAAUACGGAGGGCGCAAGCGUUAAUCGGAAUGACUGGGCGUAAAGCGUGCGCAGGCGGCCGCGGAAGUCGGAUGUGAAAGCCCCGGGCUCAACCCGGGAACUGCGUUCGAAACUCCGCGGCUCGAGUCCGGCAGAGGAAGGUGGAAUUCCGCGUGUAGCGGUGAAAUGCGUAGAGAUGCGGAAGAACACUAAUGGCGAAGGCAUCCUUCUGGGCCGGCACUGACGCUGAGGCACGAAAGCGUGGGUAGCAAACAGGAUUAGAUACCCUGGUAGU